rnacentral:tRNA from 1 species
GCGCCCGUAGCUCAGCUGGAUAGAGCACUGGACUUCGAAUCCAUAGGCCGGGGGUUCGAAUCCCUCCGGGCGUGCCA